GAUAACAGGCUGAUCGCCGCCAAGAGCUCACAUCGACGCGGCGGUUUGGCACCUCGAUGUCGGCUCAUCGCAUCCUGGGGCUGGAGAAGGUCCCAAGGGUUGGGCUGUUCGCCAUUUAAAGCGGUACGCGAGCUGGGUUUAGAACGUCGUGAGACAGUUCGGUCCCUAUCCGUCGUGGGUGUUAGAUAUUUGAAGGGAGCUGUUCCUAGUACGAGAGGACCGGAAUGGACGAACCUCUGGUGUAUCUGUUGUCGUGUCAACGGCAUUGCAGAGUAGCUACCUUCGGUUGGAUAACCGCUGAAAGCAUCUAAGUGGGAAGCCAUUCCUAAGAUUAAAUAUCCCUAUAGCCUCCCGGAAGACUACCGGGUUGAUAGGUCACAGAUGUACGCACGGUGACGUGUUUAGUCGAGUGAUACUAAUAGGCAAUUGAACUUAUCUA
rnacentral:rRNA from 1 species